rnacentral:rRNA from 1 species
UACGUAGGGUGCAAGCGUUGUCCGGAAUUAUUGGGCGUAAAGAGCUCGUAGGCGGUUUGUCGCGUCUGCUGUGAAAACUCGGGGCUUAACUCCGGGCCUGCAGUGGGUACGGGCAGACUAGAGUGCGGUAGGGGAGACUGGAAUUCCUGGUGUAGCGGUGAAAUGCGCAGAUAUCAGGAGGAACACCGGUGGCGAAGACGGGUCUCUGGGCCGUAACUGACGCUGAGGAGCGAAAGCGUGGGGAGCGAACAGG